AUCUGCCACGCUAAACUGCAGUUUUCCUGCGCGCCGUUCACACCCGGCUGACGAUUGCUCGCUACGUGUUGUCAGCC
rnacentral:sRNA from 1 species